CUCAGACUGAGCCCGGGAGGGAGCACAGAGGCAGAUCUGCAGAUCAUGGGUGAGGCUGGAUCCUCAUGGACAGAGCAGGGAGGGAGUGUGGAUCCAGAGGUGCAGCCCCUGGAGGGUAAAGAAGACAUUUUGGAAAUGGAAGUAGAGGAUGUCCAGGCAGAUCUGCAGCUGUGUGAGGGUCCCAGCCCAGCAGGCCCACAGGGAGGGGAGAGUGAAAGAGCUGUUCAGCUGGAGGAGGAGGAGGAGGAUGGGGCACAAGGACAGGGUGAGCAUGGGCUGUCACAUGAACCUGAGAUUGAUCUACAUGGAUCAGGAGUUGAGCAUGGUGAAGGGGCUGAUGAAGACAUGCAAGCACAGAAAGAGGCUGAAAGCCUGGACACUACUGAGGAGCAGAGCAGUGGUGCCAAUAUGCAGCUGAUUGCAGAGGGGGAUGAGCUCAGAUUGAGCCCAGGAGGCAACACAGAGGCAGAUCUGCAGUUUGUGGGUGAGGCUGGAUCCUCAGGGACGGAGCAGGGAGAGACAUUGGAUCCAGAGGUGCAGCCCAUGGAUCAGGAGGAUAAUGAAGAGUUUUUGGAAAGGAAGGCAGAGGAUGUCCAGGAAGAGAUGGUGUUCCAUGAAGGUCCCAGCCCAGGGGCUCCAUGGGGAGGGGAGAGUGAAAGAGCUGCUCAGCUGGAGGAAGAAGAAGAUGGAGCACAAGGACAGGGUGAGGAUGUGUGGCGGCUUUGUGCUCCGGGACAGGCAGCCCAAAGGGAGCUUCAGGAGCAGGUUUCAGCACAGGGACAUGAGGGGAGGCCUCACAUGGUGACCCAACAGCCAGAGAGGGAGACACCACCCACGAGGGAACCGGAGCACACGGCUGCUGGAGCUGCUGAGCAUCCGAAGCAAGAGGUGCCACCAGCAUCACCACUGCACAAAGCAGUGAGAGAAGGAGAUGCUGGCAGUGAUCAGCUGGGGGUGGUCCUCAGAGAAAACUCACUGGGGCAAAGGCAGCUCUUGGGAGAACAGAGCAAAGACAUCACUGUUGGUCAACGAGAGAAGGUGCGAGAGUUUGGUGAGAAAAUGAGCCAGGAGGGUGAGCCCAGCUCAGGAGAGCCAGGGGCUGUGACUGCAGCUGGGGCAGCUCCACAGGGUUGUCCUAGAGCUGCCCUGGACCCAGAGCACCUGUACAACGUGCUGUUUGUUGGGGACUCCCACGUGGGCAAAACGUCGUUCCUGUACCGCCUGCACGCCGACACCUUCAACCCCCACCUGACAGCCACUGUGGGUAGGUCUCCUCCAGCCCCCUCCAAGAACUCACUUAAAUUCCUGCAAUUCCCUUUCCUCCACUCCACAAGCUGCUGGAGGUCCCCACACGCCUGUUACAGCUCACACCAAGCGUGUUGUACAAGCAGUCCCCAG
rnacentral:lncRNA from 1 species